rnacentral:rRNA from 1 species
UACCAGCUCUCCGAGUGGUAGGGAUGAUUAUUGGGCUUAAAGCGUCCGUAGCCGGCUUAGCAAGUCUCCUGUCAAAUUCAGCGACCUAAUCGUUGAGCCGCGGGAGACACUACUAGGCUAGGAGGCGGGAGAGGCCGACGGUAUUCUCGGGGUAGGGGUGAAAUCCUAUAAUCCCGGGAGGACCACCAGUGGCGAAGGCUGUCGGCUAGAACGCGCUCGACGGUGAGGGACGAAAGCUGGGGGAGCGAACCGGAUUAGAUACCCGGGUAGUCCCAGCUGUAAACGAUGCGGGCUAGGUGUUGGGGUGGCUACGAGCCACUUCAGUGCCGCAGGGAAGCCAUUAAGCCCGCCGCCUGGGGAGUACGGCCGCAAGGCUGAAACUUAAAGGAAUUGGCGGGGGAGCACCACAAGGCGUGAAGCUUGCGGUUC